AUUGAACGCUGGCGGCAGGCUUAACACAUGCAAGUCGAGCGGAGUGAUGGUGCUUGCACUAUCACUUAGCGGCGGACGGGUGAGUAAUGCUUAGGAAUCUGCCAUUUAGUGGGGGACAACAUUGCGAAAGGAAUGCUAAUACCGCAUACGUCCUACGGGAGAAAGCAGGGGAUCUUCGGACCUUGCGCUAAAUGAUGAGCCUAAGUCGGAUUAGCUAGUUGGUGGGGUAAUGGCUCACCAAGGCGACGAUCCGUAACUGGUCUGAGAGGAUGAUCAGUCACACUGGAACUGAGACACGGUCCAGACGCCUACGGGAGGCAGCAGUAGGGAAUAUUGGACAAGGGGCGAAAGCCUGAUCCUGCCAUGCCGCGUGUGUGAAGAAGGUCUUCGGAUUGUAAAGCACUUUAAGUUGGGAGGAAGGGCAGUAAGCUAAUACCUUGCUGUUUUGACGUUACCGACAGAAUAAGCACCGGCUAACUCUGUGCCAGCCGCCGCGGUAA
rnacentral:rRNA from 1 species